CGGUGGGGCCGUGGCUGCUGAGGGGUCUUUUCCUGCCGGGGGGGCCGGGAGCGGCGCUGAGGCCGAGAAGCCUCAGCCCCCUCAGUCAAUGCACAGCAUGCCAUGGGAACUUCUCUCAUCUCUGCUUGCUUUUAGAUUAUGACAACAAGCUCGGUUCGCCUGGUUUGGAUCCUGCUUUGGAGCCUCAAGAGGAUCCCCGAGGCAGUGUUGGUGAAGUGCCUCCGUGGAAUCCUGCUCCUGAGCCUGCCAGCAUGGGUCCCACAGGUGCAGUUCUCGCAGGCACUGGCUACUCGACACCUCAGCUUGAUGUGGUCCACGG